AGUGAACGCUGGCGGUAGGCCUAACACAUGCAAGUCGAACGGCAGCACAGUAAGAGCUUGCUCUUACGGGUGGCGAGUGGCGGACGGGUGAGGAAUACAUCGGAAUCUACUUUUUCGUGGGGGAUAACGUAGGGAAACUUACGCUAAUACCGCAUACGACCUACGGGUGAAAGCAGGGGAUCUUCGGACCUUUCGCGAUUGAAUGAGCCGAUGUCGGAUUAGCUAGUUGGCGGGGUAAAGGCCCACCAAGGCGACGAUGCGUAGCUGGUCUGAGAGGAUGAUCAGCCACACUGGAACUGAGACACGGUCCAGACUCCUACGGGAGGCAGCAGUGGGGAAUAUUGGACAAUGGGCGCAAGCCUGAUCCAGCCAUACCGCGUGGGUGAAGAAGGCCUCCGGGUUGUAAAGCCCUUUUGUUGGGAAAGAAAAGCAGCAGGUUAAUACCCCGCUGUUCUGACGGUACCCAAAGAAUAAGCAACGGCUAACUUCGUG
rnacentral:rRNA from 1 species